rnacentral:rRNA from 1 species
GACAGAGCCAUAUCGCCCUGCAGUUCUUGGCUGGUUUCACACUGAAGUUAAGCAGGGUUGAGCCUCGCCAGUACCUGGAAGGGAGACCAACAGGGGAAAACUAAGGUUGUUGCUGGAA